UACGUAGGGUGCAAGCGUUGUCCGGAAUUAUUGGGCGUAAAGAGCUCGUAGGCGGUCUGUCGCGUCGGAUGUGAAAAUCCAGGGCUCAACCCUGGACCUGCAUUCGAUACGGGCAGACUAGAGUUCGGCAGGGGAGACUGGAAUUCCUGGUGUAGCGGUGAAAUGCGCAGAUAUCAGGAGGAACACCGGUGGCGAAGGCGGUGGUCUGGGCCGGCACUGACGCUGAGGAGCGAAAGCGUGGGUAGCAAACAGG
rnacentral:rRNA from 1 species